rnacentral:lncRNA from 1 species
GCCUUCAGGAAACACUAGUGACAUUUUUUUUGGGGGGGUGCGUUUCGAGACAGGGUUUCUGGCCACCAGAAAAAGGGGGCAGAUGAAAAAUGGAUUAUGGCAAAAUUCUCCCAGCUGGGCCCUUAGCUGUGGGUAGUUCCAUCACUCAGGCAGAGGAGUCCUUAUUAGCUUUGGCUCCCAAGUCUUCAUGAACCCAGGCCAUCUGAACUCCUUUCUGUUUGCUGCAGGUGAACCUUUGGGCUGCUGCUGCUGCUACGGUUGCGGCUGCUACUGUGUGUACACUUUCCCCAUAGGAAUGCCACAGGAGAGAGACUUCCUCCUCCUCCUCUUCCUACCAUCUCCUCUGCUGCCAGCAAUGAGCCCUGGGGGGCAUGCACAGACACUCAGGGUUUACGGAUGACCAGAAGGCGCGGCUUCUCCUUUCUGCUGACAGUGGGAAGCAUGGGAAACACUCAUACCACACAGUUGCCCGACCCCCCUCUCCAGCUCUGUCACCACCCAUUUCCUCCCAAGAUGGAAGGCUGCCUUUUCUUGCCAAUGUCCCUGCAUUGGCCAGAAGCACACAUUGUAUCUUUGGAGAGGUUCCAGGGCCCACACCUGGGUUAGCCCUGUUCUGGAACAUGCCUAGCAGCAGAAAAAUAGUCAUUACUGAGCCCUCUUCUGGGGGACUCCAGGCUCAUUGUGUCCCCCUGCCUCCCCUUGUAGAGGCUAGAAAGCUUUUGGAGAAGCACCUCUUGGGCACAGAGAAAUAGUCAGAAUGUGGAGCUUCUCAGGGUCGUUUCUUUGCACCCCAAGUGUUUCAGAGAAGGAGGGGGGUGGUGAGGCGGUUGAGGAAGGAUGAGAACGUGAGAAGAGAGAACCAUCCUAGUUUCUAUAGCAACCACACAUGUGAGCCAGCUGCUGUUGCCAUGGAAACAAGGAGAGCCUGCUCAGAGCCCGAACCCUCUCAGGGGAGACACAAUUUUUGAAAGGAAGAAAAAAAAAUAAAAAUAAAAAGCCAACAACA